GUCCUACGGGACGCAGCAGUGGGGGAUAUUGCACAAUGGGGGGAACCCUGAUGCAGCGACGCCGCGUGGGUGAAGAAGCGCCUCGGCGCGUAAAGCCCUGUCAGCAGGGAAGAAAAUGACGGUACCUGAAGAAGAAGCCCCGGCUAACUACGUGCCAGCAGCCGCGGUAAUACGUAGGGGGCAAGCGUUAUCCGGAAUUACUGGGUGUAAAGGGAGCGUAGACGGCAAUGCAAGUCCGGAGUGGAAUGCG
rnacentral:rRNA from 1 species